rnacentral:lncRNA from 1 species
UGCUGGAGUCUGUGUGUCGUAGGAGUUCGUCCGGAAUCUGUCCGCUACAGAAGUUCGAUCAGAGUCCGAUCUCCGUAGAAGUCCGGAUGGGGAUCAUUUGUCGAGGAAGUUCGGCCGAAGCCUGCCUGCAAUAGAAGAUCGGAAGGAAUUCGUUCACAAUAGAAGCUCAGGUGGAGGCUUACAGUAGAAAUCCGACGUGGACCGUUCGUAGUAGAAAUUCGGAGCAGACCGCUUGUAGUGGUAGCUCGGAGCAGACCGCUUGUGGUAGAAGUUCAUAGUAGACCGCUUGCGGUGGGGGCCCGGAGUCCAGCCCUUGCCAGAAUUCGGAUGAGACCCACCUGCGAUAGGAGCUUGGGGCUGAAGUUCGGCUCCCGUAGGAGCUCGGACGAAGUCUACCUGCAGUCGGAGUUCGAGGAAGAAGUCCGGCUCCCGUAGAAGCUCGGACGAAGUCUACC